UAUGUACACAUUCAUUCGCACAGCCAUAUCAUCGAGACGACCCAGGUCAACAAAACUUAAAAAAAAAAGUCCAUUACAGAUAAUAAGUACAAAGUGUCAGUCGGUUAAAGGAAGACUCAAAACUUUGUUGCUAUUAUAUACGUACACAUAUACGUACAUCUACAUGUAUACAUAUGUAUAAUCUCUCGUGUGGCAUGAUCAACCACAACCACAAAGGUCAUCGUCUUCUGUAUACAUCACAAGACGUCGCUUCCUAUGUUCCCAUGCAAUUAAUUUCAGUUCCUCUCACUUUGAACCUUUUCUAAGCGAAUAGAUAGAAAGAGGAUUAUGUAUGUAUAUCUAUAUGUAUAUACACGAAUACAUAUGUGAAUGUAUGAGUGGACAAUUCACGGACUCAAUUGCAAAUUAGGUGGAGGAUAUUCUUUGUACUCACUGUGUAUCGUUC
rnacentral:lncRNA from 1 species